rnacentral:rRNA from 1 species
CGCCUUUGGAUUAAGAUCAAAAGGUCGUGCCUGCCCAGUGUCGUGUAGAUAAACGGCUGCAGUACUCUGACUGUGCAAAGGUAGCAAAAUCAAUUGUUCAUUAAUUGUGGACUGGAAUCAAUGGCUUGACGAUAAAACAACUGUCUUUUUUUACUAGUUUUUAAUUUUACAUGGAAGUGAAGAGGCUUUCAUGAGAUAGCGGGACGAGAAGACCCCGUUGAGCUUUAAUUAAAGAAUUUUUGUUAAAUAUUUUUUAGUUUGAGUUGGGGCAACUGUUUUUAUAUUUUAAUACAAAAGCAAAAAUGUAAUGGGUUAAAUCUAUUGUGAUCCUUAACAUUUAAGAUUCAAUGGAAUAAGUUACCACGGGGAUAACAGCGUAAUUUUUUUUGAGAGUUCUUAUUGACAAAAAAGUUUGCGACCUCGAUGUUGGAUCAUGGCGUCCUAGGGGUGCAGCAGCUCCUAAGGGAUGGUUUGUUCAACCAUUAAAGCUAU